rnacentral:misc_RNA from 1 species
AACGCAAAUUGCGCUCUGGGGUUCCCCCCGGAGCAUGCCUGGUUGAGUAUCAUUAACCAACUCAUCCAAAGUCAAAAGUUUGUGAAUUCUCACAAAUCUUUUUUCUAAGGAUGGAUUUGAGGUUGUCUUGGAUGCAACAAUUCCAAGUCCCUUAAAGUUCAGAGAUGUGCAACUGACGAUAACCUGUACAGUUCACAACUUCUGAUGUGGUAAUUGUCCCAGUGGCAUUUUCAUAUCAUCAGUUGCUUGUGGCUUUGGGCCGUCAACCUCACAUCCAAAGAUAAAACUCACUUGAGGGCUGCUCAAUCCUUUUGUGCUCCUCUCUUGAAACUUUGAUCUCAACUCAGGCAAGACUACCCGCUGAACUUAA